AGUCGGGCGGUAGCACAGAGAGCUUGCUCUCGGGUGACGAGCGGCGGACGGGUGAGUAAUGUCUGGGAAACUGCCUGAUGGAGGGGGAUAACUACUGGAAACGGUAGCUAAUACCGCAUAAUGUCGCAAGACCAAAGUGGGGGACCUUCGGGCCUCAUGCCAUCAGAUGUGCCCAGAUGGGAUUAGCUAGUAGGUGGGGUAAUGGCUCACCUAGGCGACGAUCCCUAGCUGGUCUGAGAGGAUGACCAGCCACACUGGAACUGAGACACGGUCCAGACUCCUACGGGAGGCAGCAGUGGGGAAUAUUGCACAAUGGGCGCAAGCCUGAUGCAGCCAUGCCGCGUGUAUGAAGAAGGCCUUCGGGUUGUAAAGUACUUUCAGCGAGGAGGAAGGCGUUAAGGUUAAUAACCUUAGCGAUUGACGUUACUCGCAGAAGAAGCACCGGCUAACUCCGUGCCAGCAGCCGCGGUAAUACGGAGGGUGCAAGCGUUAAUCGGAAUUACUGGGCGUAAAGCGCACGCAGGCGGUCUGUUAAGUCAGAUGUGAAAUCCCCGGGCUCAACCUGGGAACUGCAUUUGAAACUGGCAGGCUUGAGUCUUGUAGAGGGGGGGUAGAAUUCCAGGUGUAGCGGUGAAAUGCGUAGAGAUCUGGAGGAAUACCGGUGGCGAAGGCGGCCCCCUGGACAAAGACUGACGCUCAGGUGCGAAAGCGUGGGGAGCAAAUAGGAUUAGAUACCCUGGUAGUCCACGCUGUAAACGAUGUCGACUUGGAGGUUGUUCCCUUGAGGAGUGGCUUCCGGAGCUAACGCGUUAAGUCGA
rnacentral:rRNA from 1 species